rnacentral:rRNA from 1 species
AGUUAAAAAGCUCGUAGUCGGAUUUCAGAUUUGUCUUUUGCAUUCCUUCAUGGUUUCUUUUGACAUUUCUUCUUUAACAGACGACUUCCUAGCAUUAAUUUGUUGGGUUGCUCAACUGUUUCUUUUACUUUGAGAAAAUUAGAGUGUUCAAAGCAGGUUUAUUGCCUGAAUAUUACUCUUGGAAUAAUAAUAUAGGACUCUGGUUCUAGUUUGUUGGUGAUCUAGUGCCGGAGUAAUGAUUAAUAGCGACGGUUGGGGUCAUUCGUACUGCAAAGCGAGAGGUGGAAUUCUUGGACCUUUGUAUGACGAACAACUGCGAAAGCAUUUGACUAGGACGUUCGCGUUGAUCAAGAACGAAAGUUGGGGGAUCGAAGACGAUCAGAUACCGUCGUAGUCUCAACCAUAAACUAUGCCAGCUAGGGAUGAGUGAACGUUAAUUACUGACUUCAUUUGCACCUUAUGAGAAAUCAAAGCAUUAGGGUUCCGGGGGGAGUAUGGUCGCAAGGCUGAAAACUUAAAGGAAUUGACGGGAGGGCACCACCAGGAGUGGAGCCUGUGGCU